rnacentral:lncRNA from 1 species
CAUUCCUCCAGUAAGCCUCCAUCCCAAAGCAACUGAGGCUGUGGCAGUGAUGCCAGCAACCUGUGUCACCCAAAAUUAUCCAGCCCUCCACGGGCACUGCCUAGGACCUGGGGAGGGAAGGGACUUUGCAUCACAGUAGCCUCAGGUUCGUGUUUGGCUCUGGUAAUAUCUUGCCUGAAAAGUGGUGGUCUUCCAGGCAUGGUGUACGGGGUCCCAGCCUUGUCUUAAAGCCUGUCCUGUCAUCAUCCAGCCACGCAGUGGCUUGGUGGAGUCACUUUGCUCCUGUGGGACAGUGCGUGUAGGAAGUCAAUGCAAAGCCUCUCCCCUUCAUGGCUCUGGUUUCUUGGCUGCAUGGUUCUCUGUAAAUCCAGUUAUAGCCACUGUCUGGCUAGAAAGCUGAAUUGGCUGAUGCUGAAAGGGAAGAGGGGGAUGGGUGUGGCAGUGUGUGCUGUGUGAUAUUUUUUAAUUUGGU